GGUUAAGCGAAUAAGCGUACACGGUGGAUGCCUAGGCAAUCAGAGGCGAUGAAGGACGUGCUAAUCUGCGAUAAGCGUCGGUAAGGUGAUAUGAACCGUUAUAACCGACGAUUUCCGAAUGGGGAAACCCAAUAUCCAAUGGAUAUUAUCAUGACGUGAAUACAUAGCGUCAUGAAGCGAACCGGGAGAACUGAAACAUCUCAGUACCCCGAGGAAAAGAAAUCAACCGAGAUUCCCCUAGUAGCGGCGAGCGAACGGGGAACAGCCCAGAGUCUUAAUCAAUAGCAGCAUCAGGAGAACGGUCUGGAAAGUCCGGCAGUAAAGGGUGAUAGCCCCGUAUCUGAAGAUGCUGUUAUUGUGAACUCGACGAGUAGGGCGGGACACGUGUUAUCCUGUCUGAAUAUGGGGGGACCAUCCUCCAAGGCUAAAUACUCCUGAUUGACCGAUAGUGAACCAGUACCGUGAGGGAAAGCCGAAAAGAACCCCGGCGAGGGGAGUGAAACAGAACCUGAAACCGUGUACGUACAAGCAGUAGGAGCCUCUUUUAUGGGGUGACUGCGUACCUUUUGUAUAAUGGGUCAGCGACUUAUAUUCUGUAGCAAGGUUAACCGUAUAGGGGAGCCGUAGGGAAACCGAGUCUUAACUGGGCGAAUGAGUUGCAGGGUAUAGACCCGAAACCCGGUGAUCUAUCCAUGGGCAGGUUGAAGGUUGGGUAACACUAACUGGAGGACCGAACCGACUAAUGUUGAAAAAUUAGCGGAUGACUUGUGGAUGGGGGUGAAAGGCCAAUCAAACCGGGAGAUAGCUGGUUCUCCCCGAAAGCUAUUUAGGUAGCGCCUCGUGAACUCAUCUUCGGGGGUAGAGCACUGUUUCGACUAGGGGGUCAUCCCGACUUACCAACUCGAUGCAAACUGCGAAUACCGAAGAAUGUUAUCACGGGAGACACACGGCGGGUGCUAACGUCCGUCGUGAAGAGGGAAACAACCCAGACCGCCAGCUAAGGUCCCAAAGUCAUGGUUAAGUGGGAAACGAAGUGGGAAGGCUCAGACAGCCAGGAUGUUGGCUUAGAAGCAGCCAUCAUUUAAAGAAAGCGUAAUAGCUCACUGGUCGAGUCGGCCCGCGCGGAAGAUGUAACGGGGCUAAACCAUGCACCGAAGCUGCGGCAGCGACAUUUAAGUGUUGUUGGGUAGGGGAGCGUUCUGUAAGCCUGCGAAGGUGUGCUGUUGAGCAUGCUGGAAGUAUCAGAAGUGCGAAUGCUGACAUAAGUUACGGAAAAGGCGGUGAAAAAAUCGGAAGCCGGGAAGACCAAGGGUUCCUGUCCAACGUUAUCGGGGGCAGGGUAAGUCACCCCUAAGGCAGGGCUGAAAAGCGUAGUCCAUGGGAAACGGGUUAUAUUCCCGUACUGGUGGUAACUGCGAUGGGGAAACGAGAGGGCUAGGUUGUCCGGGCGACGGUCGUCCCGGUUUAAGCAUGUAGGCAGAGUGAUUAGGCAAAUCCGGUCACUUAAUGCUGAGGUGUGAUGACGAACCACUAAGGUGGUGAAGCAAUUGAUGCCCUGCUUCCAGGAAAAGCCUCUAAGCUUCAGGUUACCAACAAUCGUACCCCAAACCGACACAGGUGGUCAGGUAGAGAAUACUCAGGCGCUUGAGAGAACUCGGGUGAAGGAACUAGGCAAAAUGGUGCCGUAACUUCGGGAGAAGGCACGCUGGCGGUAAGUGAAGUCCCUUGCGGACAGAGCCGAAGCCAGUCGAAGAUACCAGCUGGCUGCAACUGUUUAUUAAAAACACAGCACUGUGCAAACACGAAAGUGGACGUAUACGGUGUGACGCCUGCCCGGUGCUGGAAGGUUAAUUGAUGGGGUUAUCCUUAGGGAGAAGCUCUUGAUCGAAGCCCCAGUAAACGGCGGCCGUAACUAUAACGGUCCUAAGGUAGCGAAAUUCCUUGUCGGGUAAGUUCCGACCUGCACGAAUGGCGUAAUGAUGGCCAGGCUGUCUCCACCCGAGACUCAGUGAAAUUGAACUCGCUGUGAAGAUGCAGUGUACCCGCGGCAAGACGGAAAGACCCCGUGAACCUUUACUAUAGCUUGACACUGAACAUUGAGCCUUGAUGUGUAGGAUAGGUGGGAGACUUUGAAGUGUGGACGCCAGUCUGCACGGAGUCAACCUUGAAAUACCACCCUUUAACGUUUGAUGUUCUAACCUAGGUCCAUAAUCUGGAUCGGGGACCGUGUCUGGUGGGUAGUUUGACUGGGGCGGUCUCCUCCUAAAGAGUAACGGAGGAGCACGAAGGUUGGCUAAGCAUGGUCGGACAUCAUGCGGUUAGUGUAAAGGCAUAAGCCAGCUUGACUGUGAGAGUGACAGCUCGAGCAGGUACGAAAGUAGGUCUUAGUGAUCCGGUGGUUCUGAAUGGAAGGGCCAUCGCUCAACGGAUAAAAGGAAUCGAAUUACCCCCGGCCGCCUGUCGGCCAAAGGCAGCUACUG
rnacentral:rRNA from 1 species